CAGGGAAGCUCCACCCGCCCCCGCGUUAAUCACCGCGCGCGCAUGCGCGGUAAUUCUGGUCUUCAAAAGCCGUGCCCCGACCAUUGAAACCAAUUGCGCGAACGUUAAAGGGCCGCGAGAGGAGGACGCCCGGUUGUGUACUCCUGAGAGUCAGGACUGUCCAUUUUGAGUAUUUGGAAAAUGCCUGGCACAUAGCAGGCACUACAAUCAUUAAUCUCUGUAGAUGUCAUUACAUUAAACAUAUCACUGGACAUUGGCAACACCAGGAGGGAUGAGCUGGAGUGCCGAUGAGAAGCGCAGUCAGGAAAAUAACUGAAAUACUUUCCUGAUAGGGCCAGCCCACAACAUUUUGGCACCUGAGGCAGGGAGCUCA